AUUCAGCUGACCAGUCCCAAAUAGGACAAAAUGCUCAUCAAACUGGAU
rfam:Schistosoma mansoni strain Puerto Rico chromosome W, complete genome